rnacentral:tRNA from 1 species
GUUGACGUAGCCGAGUUGUUAAGGCGAUAGACUUGAAAUCUAAUGGAAUUUCCCCGCGCAGGUUCGAAUCCUGCAGACAACG